UACGUAGGUGGCAAGCGUUAUCCGGAAUUAUUGGGCGUAAAGCGCGCGUAGGCGGUAGAAUAAGUCUGAUGUGAAACGCCCCUGGCUCAACCAGGGAGGGUCAUUGGAAACUUGUUUUACUUGAGUACAGAAGAGGAGAGUGGAAUUCCAUGUGUAGCGGUGAAAUGCGCAGAGAUAUGGAGGAACACCAGUGGCGAAGGCGGCUCUCUGGUCUGUAACUGACGCUGAGGUGCGAAAGCGUGGGGAUCAAACAGGAUUAGAUA
rnacentral:rRNA from 1 species